rnacentral:lncRNA from 1 species
CCGGCACCGCCUCGUGCCCGCAGCCCGCAGGUGGUGGGCGCAGCUCCUGCAGCUGCGGCAUCGCGGCGGAGGGCUCGCGCGUUCCGACCGCCGCUGAGGCAGCGCGUGGGCGCGCGACCAACGGCCGUAACGGUCGUUCCGGUUAUUCAAACAGCGCUCGGCCGCCGGAGCGUUUGCGCCUUCCGGCUAUAGAGGGAUCUCCGCAGAGAGGGACGGAGGGUCGUCGCCUCAUCCUCGAGCCUGAGGGGCAGAGGGUAGACCAAGCUCAGCUCUAACUGUAAACAUACUGUACAGGGUACCAAAGGAACAAAGCCUGGCUAACUGAAGGCUAUGAUGGGAUAUAAAGAAAACCCACAAGUAAAACUGCUUCUUGAUGAAAUGCUGAAAACAAAUCCAAAAAAAUUCUGGACGUUAUUUGGAAUAAAUGGAACAAUCUGUUGAUUCCUUGAGUUGAAGCUCUCCCUGGAAAUGAAAUAGGGUUGAAAUUUCUGACUGCAUUAAAUCACUGAGGCUCAAGUCACAGUACAUUUCAGUAGAAGCCAAUGCCGGGAUUUUACUGAAGCUGGUAAGGAGAAGAGGUCUCAUAAGAUUUACCUAACUCAUGCAGUGGGACAUGGAGCUGCUGCUGUGAAAUUCAAAGAACUUGAAGGUAUCAAAACAGACAGAUGGCUACCAGUGGGUUUAGUAUUUGAUAUCAAGCACAGUUCUGAUGAAUUCUGAUGAGUGACUUGGGAAGUGCCAGAUGAUGGAAGAUGAAUAUCAGAUAGCCUGAAUAAAAGAACACAAGAACUUCAUUAUGCUGUUUUCUGAAAUACAGGAAGCAAGAGGUUAAAGGAGGAUGGAGAAACAAAUAGGAAGAAUGCUCAGCGUUUACUACUUAUGAAGCAGUAUCAUGUUGUGGUAAUUCAGGCAUUUGUCUAAUAAGUCUCUAGAAAUAACCUCCGAACAAUUCAGAUAGCAGCAGCCAUUACAGGCUGUUCACAAGCUGCUGAUAUAACUGUGGAGACACGUCUAGUAAAAGUCACCUGGGAUCAAACUAAAAUGAGUGACGGUGGAGCUGCUUCCAUAUCACAUCUUCUUCCAGUACAGAACUUUUCAGGAACAGAAUGUAACACUGCUCCAAAGUCUUGGCAUGCCAGUGUUGCCUUUGUGUAUUUGAAGUAUUUCCACUGGUCUUCGGAGUCCUGUCAUCCACCAAUGUGGAAUCCACAACUCAGAGCUGUGACUAUCCUUUGGAAGGAACAGACAUGACAACCAUCGUCUUAACUGCACUGUGUCAGAGGAACCAUGAGUUUGGCAGCAAUCCAUACCCAGUGCAUGGAGGACCUUCAGAUGAAUUUUUUCUGCUACAGUUUAACUUGCCACGUUUAAUUUGCAAGUAUCAAGGGCUGCUCUCAAGCCAUUCUUCACUCAACCUGUAUCUGUGCUUGAGAUUGCUCUGACUGAGGUGCAGGACCUUGCACUUGACCUUGCUGAAUUUCAUGAAGGUGGAAAGGGCUCACCUCUCAAGCCUGACAAGGUCCCUCUGGUUAGUAUCCCUCCUCUCUAGUAUGUCAACUGCACCACUCAGCUUGGUGUCAUCGGCAAACUUGAUGUAAUAACUAACAUUACUCUCUACUGUUUCAUUCCCACUCCAUUUCUUUAAUUGUGGUUGCUAAGGCAAAUGUAUGCAAUUAAAUGAGCAACUGAAGACAACUCCAAUCAAAAUGCAAUUUAGGUCUGCUCCCAUCUGCAGAUUCUUUGGCAGGGAUCUGGCCACAGUUAUGUAAUAGCAGGGACCAGUAGUUUUGUUGCUAACAUUAUGUAAUUGUAGGAUUUUCAGUGAUGUAUAAGAGUUAAAGGCCUAAUCCCCAUUGGCUUUUGCCAAUUUUUUUCCAGUACCCCCUUGACAAUUCUCCUCAUGCCCUUUGAGAUCUUCCUUCCUGCAAAUAGAAACUGUGUCUUUUCCCUUGUUAUCUCAUUUGCAGUUUAAUAUUGUUACUUAAACUUCUAAAACAGGUCAUGCUUAGUAAAGUGUGAAAAUUGUAUCUGGCAAGCAAGAUGGGAAGCAAAUGAGAGUUCUGUUCAACAACUCUGACCACAUGCAUUUCAUCUUCUGCCUUUAUCUCCGGCCUGUCUUUUCUGAAUCAACAUAUUCAUUUUUUUGUUACCUAAAAGCAAAAAAAAAUCUUUUACAGUAUUGUCACAUUGUGAACAUCACAGGCCAGAUGUAUAUUCGUGUCUAAUCUGUUAUUCUUUCCUGGUUUUCAAAUAAAUCUGCUGAUUGCACUGAGGUGAGAAAAAUGCAGUACGUGAAAAAUAGACAAAAAUAAAAUGUAUGCUUAUUUGUAAAUUGCAAAGACAAUGGAUAGGGAUCCUGCCAAAACCAAUCACACACAGCAGGUUAUUAUGCUCCUAAUAAAAUCAAAGACAUUCUUAGUGUUGCCAUGAGUGGAAAGUGACUUAACAGUUUUGUAAUGAUCCUGUAUGAGCAUCUGAAGUAAGUAGGAAUCUUACCACUGUUUCAAUAUGAUUUUGUUGAGGCUACUGCUGGGAAGGAAAAAAUGAUCUUACAUCCUAAAAUGAGGUCGAUUAAUAAACAAUGGUAUCAUUCUCAUAAUACAGGGGUAUUUUUUGUUGUUGUUUUUUUUUUCUGCUGUUGUUUAAGCAAUUACAUCUCAGCUUUAAAGAGCUUUUUUAAAGUGAUAGAUCCAUGAAGAGACACCUACACAGAGGAAGUAAUGACCCCACAUUACAAUGAAGGGUGAAGUAUGGUGCCAUUCAAGUAAGUAAAAAAUCAUUUUGCUUUCUGAGAAAACAAGAUUUCAUCUUUUGUGUAAAUUGGAGACAAGAAAAGUUGUCAGGAUAUCUGGUUUUAGCUUUAAAAAUUAAAAUAUUAGUUAACCUGCCUUUAAGGCAGCAUGUAUGGAUGAGCUAACAGAGCAAGGGAUUAUCAGUAACAGUAUCAGUAACAUGCCAAGGGCCAUGGAUCUCAAUAAUUUCAUGGGGACAGCCUCUGGCUUCCUGAGCAGAGGAUCUCAGAUGUGUCAUGGUGUCAAAAUGAUCUUUAAUAGAUACAUUCAUCAGUCAAUUUCACUGUGACUGAAACUGAAUCACAUGAACCACAGGAUUUAAGGAAUAGUCUUCAGGGUGAUUUCUGUAUGCACAGAAGUCCCCCAUGAAUAUCCAAAAACAGUUUAAAAGUAGAGAAAGCUCAUAUAGAUCAGAAACCAAAAUGUUUCUAAAGGUUACUUAAUGUUAUCAUCCUUAAUUUCCUUGCACAAACUGAAAGUCAUAAGGAAAGUCAUUACACACACUUAAUAUUUUUAGCAGAUCAGCUUCAAGUUUCUGUUAAGGCAAGUACAUCUGUGUUAGCAUUUUCUUUUAUUACAAACUUAUUCCUAUGUAGAAAUUAACUACUGACUGAAUUUCUUUGGUUAAAUUCAAUCUUAGAAUAAUUUAAAGAUAAUGUUGAUUUAAGUGAAAUGAAGUCUUAAAUUAGUUAAUUCAAAUUUAUUUCUUCAGUAGCAAAUAUUUGUCUAAUAGCUCCAUAAAAAGAUCAGGACAUAGGUAUGUUAUAUGUUUAGGACACUUACUGGGUUAAAUGAGAAUCCUGUAAAUGAGUGACUGUUAGUUUUAGGCUCUUUCAUACUUUAUAAGCCACGAAGAACAACUUUAAAAAGUCAAGAAAGAAAAAUUAUUUGAAAAAUGCCUACCAAUAGGGCAGCACAAAUAGGGCCAUGGAUGAUGUAGAGCAGAUGAGUAUCAGAGCUGAUCCAACAGCUAAAGUGAGAAAAGAAAAACAUUUGGUAUUUUGUUAUCUGUUCUAUUCCUUUUUCUUCUCCAUAAACUAAAUAUUAUUGUUUUGCAAAGCAAUUUGAGAUACUACUUACUUGUCAUUAUAAUACAAGCUUCUAGCAACAGCGUGUAUGGAGGCAGGGAUCAGUGGAAAACCUGUGAAUAGAAAACAUUUUCUUAAUAUGUAAACUGGUUAGCUAAUAAGUAAAUAGCAAAACAAACCUGCAUUUUUUGCAGAGAUCCUUCACCUCAUCCAAAUUAUUUAUAAGUGCAGAGCAAAAAAAGGAUCAGUCCAGUUUCUAUUUUCACAGAUUAAUUCUAGAGGGGUGUACGAAACUUUAUUUUCACUCUCCUAUCAGAAAAUCCAUAUCAAUGUACAGAAAAAGGGCAAAUCAAAAUUUAUCAUUAUUUACAAUGUAACAAUCAAUAUUAACACGGAUUGUUUUCAGACUGCAAUCUGCAGUAACGCUAAUUGCUAAGUAAUGUAAGUAUUUAUAUACAGUUACAGACAUAUAUAUAACACUAUGAUUAAUAACAUUAAUUGUGUUCCUCCUGGUGUUUUCUGCGUAUCCAUAAAGCAAUACUCCUCGCAAAAAUAAAUAAAUAAAUAAAAUUAACAGUCUGGAUACCUGGCACGUACAAUGUUUAAAAGAAUAAAUAUUUAUUUGGGGUGAUUCAUAUCCUGGUGAUACCCAUUUUUUGGAAACCAAUGAGUAGGUUAGCUCUCAGCCUCACCUCAACUGUGCCCAUUGUGGUACAGCCAGUGACACAGGCACCAAGUCAUGCCAUAGCUGAACGUGCCCAUACAAUAAGCCAAGAAAAAGUCCUCACUCACACUUUGUGUAUUUGCUGUUCUACAGUAUCUGAAACCAUCAGGUUUGGCUUGUUAGUUCUAAUGUGGAUAUUACUUCAGAUCGUUAGCUACAGCUACUCUGUAUUUGCAGAGUGAACAAUACAGCUGCUGGAGCUGCUGGAAAAAUAAGUUCUUAGCCAUCUCUAAUUCAGUUUUGACCCUCCACCCUAGACAUGGCAAGACUUCUAUGAAAACAAACAUUCGUUCCUGAAUAAACAUCUUCAGAUGAGGAAAAAUGAAUAAUUACUUCUUAAUGUCUUUUUAUAAUAAGAGACUAUUUUCUCUGUACAAAGGAGGAGUCACUUCCUGACAACAGAAACACAAUCUCUCUUUCGGCAAAGAUAGAGGUACAUUCAACUUCCUACAUUAAUAUUUCUAGGCCUGUUAAAAGAGAACAGACAAAGAAGAAGGGCAUGUUGUUAUUGUUCAAAAUCCACCACCUCAGAGAAGAAACAGGACAGCUGUUCAAUUGCUCAUGAAAAGGAGUUAAAGAUAGCAUUGGCCUGAAAAUACAGUGAAAUUGCAUAUGAAUAUGUGAAAUUGCAUACCCCAGCCAAGAAGGUAAUACCACAUCAAGUGCUGUUUGUCAGCAAAAACGGCCACCACAAUAAGAGUAUGCAGGUGAAUGCCUUCACACAGCAUCCAGAAGUAGUUGCAACCCAUUAGGUACUGGUAGAUAAACAUCGCCACUUUGCAGCUAAUCUGUAGAAAAGAAAGCACAGUACAAAAUAAAUUCUUAAGUUGCAAAAAUCUCAGAGAAAUACUUGGAAAAAGUAUUUAUUUUUAUAGAAUUAAAAUUCCAUAUUUUAUAGCCAGUCUAUUUUUACUAAGCAAACAUAAGAAGCAAACAUCCUAAAGCAUGAUGGCAGGAAGCAGUAAUGAUAAUAUUUCCCUUUGUCACAAAUAGUGACACAUUUGAUCAUUCCAGUUAAAAUGGAGUCCUCAAAUUAGCAGAUGCAUGAAAAAACACCCUUUGAAGAAGCUAAUUCUCUGGGACCUUCAAGAUCAUGUAAUUCCAACCCCCCUGCCAUGGGUAAGAUUGCCAACCACCAGAUCAGGCUGCCCAGGGC